rnacentral:rRNA from 1 species
ACCCGCUGAAUUUAAGCAUAUAAUUAAGCAGAGGAGGAUAAAUUAAAGAAGACCCCUUCAGUAACAGCGAGUGAACAAGGUCAUGAUCGCUUUGAAAAUUAGGGUUGUGGCUCUGAAUUGUAUUUCUUUAAUGCAUUGCCAACAGAGGUGCAGGUGUAGGCCUGGUGGAAAAGAGCAUCAGAGAGGGUGAAGGCCCCGUGUGUCGUCUGUGGCCUACUGUAAACGGCACGCAUGCAAAGAGUCACGCCCUUUGGGAUUGGAGCGCAAAGCAGGUGGUAGCUUUCAUCUGAAGUUGAAUAUAAGCUUGAGCCCGGUAGCAAACAAGUACCGCGAAGGAAAGGUGAAAAGGAGUUUGAAAAGAGUUUUAAACAGUGUUUGAAUUUGCUGGAGAGAAAGUGGAAUAAAUCUGAUGGUUAGGUGAGAUUGCUUUGCCCCGCCCGUCUUGAAACACGGACCAAGGAGUCUAGCACAUGUGCAAGCACUUGGGUGCAAAGUCUGUGUGCAUAAUGAAAUUGAUUGCUGGGCACCCAUAGCACUGGCAGCCAACCAAUUAUUUGGAAAGAUCUGAGCAUGAGUACAUCUGUUAGGGCCCGAAAGAUGGUGAACUAUGCUUGUGAAGGGUCAACUCAGGGGAAACUCUGAUGGAGGUCCACAGUGAUACUGACGUGCAAAUCGUUCGUCAUACAUUGGUAUAGGGGCGAAAGACUAAUCGAACUAUCUAGUAGCUGGUUCCC